rnacentral:rRNA from 1 species
GUGGGGAAUAUUGGACAAUGGGGGGAACCCUGAUCCAGCCAUGCCGCGUGUGUGAAGAAGGCCUUUUGGUUGUAAAGCACUUUAAGCGAGGAGGAGGCUACCGAGAUUAAUACUCUUGGAUAGUGGACGUUACUCGCAGAAUAAGCACCGGCUAACUCUGUGCCAGCAGCCGCGGUAAUACAGAGGGUGCAAGCGUUAAUCGGAUUUGCUGGGCGUAAAGCGCGCGUAGGUGGCCAAUUAAGUCAAAUGUGAAAUCCCCGAGCUUAACUUGGGAAUUGCAUUCGAUACUGGUUGGCUAGAGUAUGGGAGAGGAUGGUAGAAUUCCAGGUGUAGCGGUGAAAUGCGUAGAGAUCUGGAGGAAUACCGAUGGCGAAGGCAGCCAUCUGGCCUAAUACUGACACUGAGGUGCGAAAGCAUGGGGAGCAAACAGGAUUAGAAACCCUUGUAGUCC